AGAUACUUCUUCACCUCUAGCCACAGCUUAAAACAGCUUCGUAUCUAAUUGCAGCACUGAUCUCCAAAGAGGAAUUUUAAUUCAGAGAUACUGGAGUGACUCCAUGUUCAUCAUAAAAUCUGAUUGUCUUGUUAAAGGAGUACUACCUUAUUCUAUCACAAAAAGAUUGCUCAUUUCAUGCUUGGUAUUUGUUGUUAAAGCAUCAGCCCAAAAGUAGAACCAUAUUCUGGAAAGGAUGAGAUCACUUAAACUGACUUAAACAUAGGACAAGAAUAAGAUCUGCAGAGUUCAUUUGGACUAAAUGCUAUGCUCAAGUUGUUCAACAAAGCAUCUGACACCUCUGAAAGGAAUAAAAAUGUCAUGUGCUGAAGGUGGAGGAGUGGAGGGUCCUGGUCUCAAGCUUUCUGGAUUGAUGGCUAUAAUUGUACACAGUACUGCCCUGUACAGCCUCCAGGUGUGGUACCUGCAGCCUAUGCUGGUGACUAUGAGCUAGCAUCAGGAUUCCUGAGGGGUUUCCAUUGCUUGUGCUGGGAGCUGGGGUUGUGUGCCAUGGAGGCCUGGGGCACUGGAAGUCAGUGUUCUGUAACCUGUGCUUCCACCACAGGUGAAUCCUCUGAGUGAGAGGACACUGCACGGAAAAGAAUAGGAAAGAGAUUAAAUGAAUACCUGGGCUUCAAAAGUCUAUAGCAAGUUAUCAAUCUGCUUUAUGAUGUGUAAUUCACGCCUACAAAUGCAGUGUGUUCCUGUCAUUGUUUAAAUAUAGGAGAGAUACCACAACCUUCAAUCUCACUAAUGCUUGCCAAAAGUUUUAUGUACAGUGUGUGUGUGUCUGUUCAGCAAAUGAUCACUCUUGUUGUGUUUCAUCCUUGUAGGCUGUUGGUAAAGAAAAUAAAGGAAAAGAAUC
rnacentral:lncRNA from 7 species